rnacentral:rRNA from 1 species
GACGGGGCCCGCACAAGCAGUGGAGUAUGUGGUUUAAUUCGAAGCAACGCGAAGAACCUUACCAGGGCUUGACAUCCCUUGAAGCAGCUAGAGAUAGCUGUGUCCUUCGGGACAAGGAGACAGGUGGUGCAUGGUUGUCGUCAGCUCGUGUCGUGAGAUGUUGGGUUAAGUCCCGCAACGAGCGCAACCCCUGUGGUUAGUUGCCAGCAAGUAGCGUUGGGCACUCUAGCCAGACUGCCGGUGAUAAACCGGAGGAAGGUGGGGAUGACGUCAAAUCAUCAUGCCCCUUAUGACCUGGGCUACACACGUGCUACAAUGGUUGGUACAACGAGUUGCGAGUCGGUGACGGCGAGCUAAUCUCUUAAAGCCAAUCUCAGUUCGGAUUGUAGGCUGCAACUCGCCUACAUGAAGUCGGAAUCGCUAGUAAUCGCGGAUCAGCACGCCGCGGUGAAUACGUUCCCGGGUCUU